rnacentral:rRNA from 1 species
GGGGAAUUUUGGGCAAUGGGCGAAAGCCUGACCCAGCAACGCCGCGUGAGGGAGGAAAUCCUUCGGGAUGUAAACCUCGCAAGCAGGGGAAGAAAGCACGAGGAUGAAUAAGACUCGUGUUCGACGGUACCCUGCGUAAGCCACGGCUAACUCCGUGCCAGCAGCCGCGGUAAUACGGAGGGGGCUAGCGUUGUUCGGAAUUACUGGGCGUAAAGCGCACGUAGGCGGCUGUGUAAGUUAGAGGUGAAAGCCCGGGGCUCAACCCCGGAAUUGCCUUUAAGACUGCAUCGCUUGAAUCCAGGAGAGGUGAGUGGAAUUCCGAGUGUAGAGGUGAAAUUCGUAGAUAUUCGGAAGAACACCAGUGGCGAAGGCGGCUCACUGGACUGGUAUUGACGCUGAGGUGCGAAAGCGUGGGGAGCAAAC